rnacentral:rRNA from 1 species
CCUACGGGAGGCAGCAGUAGGGAAUAUUGGUCAAUGGACGCAAGUCUGAACCAGCCAUGCCGCGUGAAGGAUUAAGGCCCUCUGGGUUGUAAACUUCUUUUAUAGGGGACGAAAAAAGGGCAUUCUUGCUCACUUGACGGUACCCUAGGAAUAAGCACCGGCUAACUCCGUGCCAGCAGCCGCGGUAAUACGGAGGGUGCAAGCGUUAUCCGGAUUUACUGGGUUUAAAGGGUGCGUAGGUGGGUUGGUAAGUCAGUGGUGAAAUCUUCGAGCUUAACUCGGAAACUGCCAUUGAUACUAUCAAUCUUGAAUCAUCUAGAGGUAAGCGGAAUAUGUCAUGUAGCGGUGAAAUGCUUAGAUAUGACAUAGAACACCAAUUGCGAAGGCAGCUUACUAUGGAUGCAUUGACACUGAGGCACGAAAGCGUGGGGAUCAAACAGGAUUAGAUACCCUGGUAGUCCACGCCCUAAACGAUGGAUACUCGACAUUUGUGAUAUACAAUAAAGUGUCUGAGCGAAAGCAUUAAGUAUCCCACCUGGAAGUACGACCGCAAGGUUGAAACUCAAAUGAAAUUGACGG